rnacentral:lncRNA from 1 species
GUUCAGUCUUUGGGUCCCAUUUUCUAUAGGUUUUGAAAACUCUGUAACCUAUAUUCACUACUGUAGUGUUCUACACAACAGUUGCGUAGCCCUGGAAGCACUCUGUUCUCUGUGUGCUUCCAUCCUCCUUCAGCGCCAACCCCAGCAACCACUGUUGUUUCUACCGUCUCAGUAGUUUAGCUUUUCCAGAGUGUCCACCAGUUGAGAUUGCCGUAAUGUAUAACCUUUCAAAGUGGUUUAUCCUGUUUAGUAAUAUGCACUGGAUAUUUAUCACCUGCUAAAGGUUUGGCAAUUGUGGACAAACUACACAGACAUUCAUAGGCACAUUUUUGUCUGAAUAGAAGUUCUCAGUUCAUUUGAGUAAACACCCGAGGACACCCUUACUGGAUUGUGUGGUAGGGCUGCCUUUACUUUGGUGAGAAGUCAGCAAAGUGUCUGGGCCUCUUUGCAUGUCCAUUGUUAGCUUCUGUGGCCCUGUAUCCUCAUCAGCAUUUGGUAUUGGUGAUGUGGAUUUGGGCUGUUCUAGUAGGUGUGCAGUAUAUCAGACGGGUUGUUUUCUUACUGUUGAAAGUAUUUAACUGCUUGAGGGCCAUGGCAUGGACCACCAGGUACGUGUUGUACUGCUUACUGCCGAUUUGGGGGGGGGGAUUUCCCCCCUCUGUUUGAUAAUAGGUCUUUAUCAGAAGUUUCUUUUUCAAAUAUUUUCAUUCUGCCUGUGGUUUCUCUUUCCAUUCUCAUGAAAUGGUCUUUAGCAGAGCAGAAGGGUUUUGUUUUCCUUUUCGUUUUAAUGAGGAGAAGCGCAUUGGUUCUCUUUGACUGGAUCACCUUCAGUUAUUUCUGAGAAGUCAUGCUGCCCCCACGCACGUGUGCGCGCACACACACACACACACACACACAUACACCCAUCAUCAUUUAUUUUCCUGCUGCUGUGGUGGAGAGGUCUCAAUGGCAGGAACUAGAAGCUGCUGAUCACAUCACUCCCAGAAUUUGGAACACAGAGCAAUGAAUGCAUGUGGAGAGCAUGAACUAUCCAGUUCCCACCCCAGGAAACGGUGCCUUCUGCAGGGAGCAGGACUUCCCACUAAAAUGAACUGAAUCCGGACAGCCGAGAUAAUUCCCCACAGAUAUGCCCAGAGCUCCCUCUCCCAGGUGAUCUCAGAUUCUGUCAGGUUCUCAAGUGCUGUUAAGCGUUACUACCCAAGCCUUCCCACACGCUCCUAGAGUAGCUUCUGGUUUUUAGUUUUUAGUUUUACCAUUAGAUCAUCGGUCUUGAAUCCUGUGAAGGCUGUGAGGUGUCUCCUCUGGUUUGGUUUUUAAUGCUUUUGAUGAGAAGGUUCUUUAUACCAUUGCCCUUUUUACUUCCCUGUCAAAGCUUAGCAGACGGUAUUUAUGAGAGUCUGUUUCUGACCCUCUUUCCAUUGCUCUAACGACACUUUUGUCAGGACCAUGCUAUCUGAUUACUGUAGCAUUCUGAGUCUUGCAGUCAGACUCAGUCCUCCAAAGUGGCCCUUUAAUAGUGAUUUUCCAGGUCUUUUGUUUCUCUGUGUACGUGUUAGAGUGAGUUUAUUAAUUUAAAAAGUAAUUCUAUAGAUUUGGGGGAUGGUAAAGAUCAAGUUGAGAAGAUUUGCAAUCAUAAGGUCACUGCAGUUUUCUCUCUAUGAGCAUGAACUGUUCAUUUAUUCAGUUCUUUGAUUCAUUUCAUCAGAAUUUUGUACUUUUUCUUACGUAGUGUUUAUAGCUCAACAUUUCAUUUGGGGAGGUGCUAAUAUAAUUUUAAUUUGAAAUUCAACAUGAUCAUUGCAGAUAGAUAGAUAGAUAGAUAGAUAGAUAGAUAGAUAGAUAUAAUAAAAGAAGUUGUAUCCGGCAACUUUCCUUUGAUCACUUACUUGACUGGAGACAAGUUUUGUUAUUUUUUUCAGAUUUAUAGAUGAUCAUGUCACCUGUGAACAAAGUUUUUUUUUCAUCAUUUAUUUAUGAGUGUGUGUUUGUGUGUGUGUAUGUGUGUGAAUUCAUGUGCACAUGGGUACACACACAGGUUUACACUUCAAGGUCAGAGGACAAUUCUGGGUAGUCAGUUUGUUCUGGGGAUCAAAGUUAGCCUGCCAGCCUUGGUGGUAAGCAUCUCUAUAUCUCAUAGAUUCCUGUUUAUUUUUUAUUUGUCUUUCUGGUUACAUUAGCCCUUUGAAUACAAUGUUGAAAGUAGUGGCAGUUUGUCAUCAGAUGAAUGGAUUUAAAAAGUAUUUUAUAUGUAUGUAUGUAUGUAUAUGUCUGGUAGAAUUUGAUCUUGCUCUAAAGAAUUGAAAGUAGCGAGAUUCAGAAAGACAGAUUUUGCAUGUGUUCUCAUAUGUAGACUCCAGAUUUAAGUUUAUAUAUAAACAUAUAAACUCAUACCUAUGUAGGAUGUGGAAAUAGAAAGGGGACUAUAAGAAGAAAACAGUAGAUGUAAAUGAAAGAGAAGAGACAAGAAAGAAAAAUAAAAAGAGAGGGGAUGAGCUAGAGAGACAGCUCACAGUUAAGAACUCUCUUAGAGAACCUGAGCUCCGUGCCCAGCACCAGCUGUCUGUGAGUCUAGCUCUGGGCAAUCUGACAUCCUCCUCUGCAUCCAUGGAUCCUGCAUACAUACACACACACACACACACACACACACAGAGAGAGAGAGAGAGAGAGAGAGAGAGAGAGAGAGAGAGAGAGAGAGAGAGGGAGGGAGAGAGAGAGAGAAAGAGAAAGAGAGAGAGAGAGAGAGAAUGAAUCAACCACAAAUGAGAUCUUUCCGGAAGAAAGAGAAGAAAAGCCAUGGGAGAGGGCAUAGUGAUCUUUUCUAAUUUUAGGAAAGCUUGCUGUUUAAAUCGUUGUGUUUGACACCACUAAACGUUCUGUUAACUGCAGUUUUUGCAGUAUCCUUGCUUUUGUUUUUGGAGAUUUUUAAGGGGGAGGUAUUUUGUUUUUGUCUUUGUGAGAUGGGGUCUCACAGUCCUGGCCCAUUUUGGCUUGGAGCUCUGUAGUUUAGGGUUGCCUUGAAGUGUGUCAGCCCUUCUACUAGAGUUUCCCAACUGCUGGAAUUAGGGCAUUCACCCCACGCUGCUCACUGUGGGGACUUUAUAGACAUUCUUGGUCAAUCAGAGGAUGUUUAUUUCCAGCUGACAGAGUUUUUAUACAUAUUGGGUUUUUCUAAGUGCCUUUACUGCUGAAAACCAAACAUGUUAUUGUGUUUUAUCUGUCAGAAGCCUAUUAUAUAUUACAUAAUUAUAUCACAAGAAUAUUUCCUGACACAAAUGUCAGCCUUUUUGUGAAUAAUACUGUUUUUAUCUUGAUAACUUUGUUUUCUAAUUUUACAACAUUAUUUGUAACAAAUCUUUUUCUCUAUUAUAAUCUUUGAAUUAGUGCUGAUUGGCUACUGUAUAUGUCUUCCCAGUAACAAAACCAGAGCUCUCAACACUGAACAAAUAUGUAUAUAUUUUAUAUGGGGUAAAGUACAGAAGCUAUGCAGGCAUGUUCUACCAAGGCCCUUAGUCUUUGGAUUUUCUUAAUUGAUUUUAAAAGUUUAAGCAUUUUUUUGAGAAAUAAUUAAAGCAUAUUUUAGUAAUUUAAUGAUCCUUUAAAUGUACUGUUAGUCAUCUCUCUUCUGAACCUACAAUAAUGUUUGUCUUUUUAGCCUCAGUUUCCAUAGUUAACAUUUAAAAAUGCCAGAUCCAAACCAUUCCACUAGGAGUUCAAAGAACUGAGAGUCAGCAUCUCAGUAUCUAUAGUCUCUUAGGCCUGAUGUAAGGAAAGUCAUUGAAUAUCAUUGGCUUUUAACUUCCGUCCCAAAUUUAACAGUUAAUUCCUGAUUUGGCUUGGCCUGACUGAGGACCUGGAAUAGCAGAUUUUUGGAAAGAAGCGGUGGGCAGGGGCAGGGCAUGGUACAGAGAGAACAGUAACAAAGCCAUAGCUCCCACACAUGAAAGACACAAGUCCACGACUAAUCCUGAGGUGUUUAUAUUCACAGGCAUACAUGUCCAUGGCUUAAUUUCCUGUCAGUAAUAGUAAUUUUAGCACACAUUAAGUUAAAAAUACUAAAAUGACGUUGUCAAAGAUUUUGUUAAUAAGGUUUAGAAAUUUCAGUGGCAGAUUUAAUUUUCCUGCAUAUUGUUUUAGAUACAAAUGACAUUAUCUCAUCAUCAUCACAGCUAGAGAGAUGUUCACUGGCUACGGCCAUUUUACUGGUUUUGCAGAGGACCUGUGUUUAGUUCACCUCCAACACACACACACAUACACACACACACACACACACACACACAGCGGCUCACAUCCUUUCUAGUUCCCAUUUUCUCC